GGCCAGCAUGGUGUAGUGGUUUGAAUGUGUGACUACAAUUCUGGAGACCAAGGUUUGAAUCCUUGCUUGGCCA